rnacentral:rRNA from 1 species
UACGAAGGGGGCUAGCGUUGUUCGGAAUUACUGGGCGUAAAGCGCGCGCAGGCGGCUAUCCAAGUCAGGGGUGAAAGCCCGGAGCUUAACGCCGGAACUGCCAUUGAAACUGUUUAGCUUGAGGACGAGAGAGGUGAGUGGAAUUCCCAGUGUAGAGGUGAAAUUCGUAGAUAUUGGGAAGAACACCGGUGGCGAAGGCGGCUCACUGGCACGUAUCUGACGCUCAGGCGCGACAGCGUGGGGAUCAAACAGG